GAUGAACGCUGGCGGCGUGCCUAAUACAUGCAAGUCGAGCGAACAGACGAGGAGCUUGCUCCUCUGACGUUAGCGGCGGACGGGUGAGUAACACGUGGAUAACCUACCUAUAAGACUGGGAUAACUUCGGGAAACCGGAGCUAAUACCGGAUAAUAUAUUGAACCGCAUGGUUCAAUAGUGAAAGACGGUUUUGCUGUCACUUAUAGAUGGAUCCGCGCCGCAUUAGCUAGUUGGUAAGGUAACGGCUUACCAAGGCAACGAUGCGUAGCCGACCUGAGAGGGUGAUCGGCCACACUGGAACUGAGACACGGUCCAGACUCCUACGGGAGGCAGCAGUAGGGAAUCUUCCGCAACGGGCGAAAGCCUGACGGAGCAACGCCGCGUGAGUGAUGAAGGUCUUCGGAUCGUAAAACUCUGUUAUUAGGGAAGAACAAAUGUGUAAGUAACUAUGCACGUCUGGACGGUACCUAAUCAGAAAGCCACGGCUAACUACGU
rnacentral:rRNA from 1 species